GACGAACGCUGGCGGCGUGCUUAACACAUGCAAGUAGAACGGAAAGGCCCUGCUUUUGUGGGGUGCUCGAGUGGCGAACGGGUGAGUAACACGCGAGUAACCUGCCCUUGACUUUGGGAUAACUUCAGGAAACUGGGGCUAAUACCGGAUAGGAGCUCCUGCUGCAUGGGGGGGGUUGGAAAGUUUCGGCGGUUGGGGAUGGACUCGCGGCUUAUCAGCUUGUUGGUGGGGUAGUGACUUACCAAGGGUUUGACGGGUAGCCGGCCUGAGAGGGUUACCGGCCACAUUGGGACUGAGAGAGGGCGCAGACUCCUACGGGAGGCAGCAGUGGGGAGUAUUACGCAGUGGGCGGAAGCCAGAUGCGGCAACGCCCCGUGCGGGAUGACGGCCUUCGGGUUGUAAACCGCUUUGGACUGAGACGAAGCUUGAGUGACGGUAAUGGGUAAGAAAGCACCGGCUAACUACGUG
rnacentral:rRNA from 1 species